rnacentral:rRNA from 1 species
UAGGUAACCUGCCUCUAAGAUCGGGAUAACCUGUCGAAAGACGUGCUAAUACCAAAUGAGACCACAGCUUCUUCGGAAGCAAGGGUCAAAGGUAGCCUCUACUUGUAAGCUAUCACUUAGAGAUGGGCCUGCGUACCAUUAGCUAGUUGGUGGGGUAACGCCCACCAAGGCAAAGAUGGUUAGCUGGUCUGAGAGGAUGAUCAGCCACACUGGAACUGAGACACAGUCCAG